rnacentral:rRNA from 1 species
AACGAACGCUGGCGGCAGGCUUAACACAUGCAAGUCGAGGGGUAGCAAGAUUGUAGCAAUACAAUUGUUGACGACCGGCAAACGGGUGCGGAACACGUACACAACCUUCCUACAAGUGGGGAAUAGCCCAGAGAAAUUUGGAUUAAUACCCCGUAACAUAGCGAUGUGGCAUCACAUUGCUAUUAUAGCUUCGGCGCUUGUUGAUGGGUGUGCGGCUGAUUAGAUAGUUGGCGGGGUAACGGCCCACCAAGUCUACGAUCAGUAGCUGAUGUGAGAGAAUGUUCAGCCACACGGGAACUGAGACACGGGCCCGACUCCUACGGGAGGCAGCAGUAAGGAAUAUUGGACAAUGGACGCAAGUCUGAUCCAGCCAUGCCGCGUGAAGGAUUAAGGUCCUCUGGAUUGUAAACUUCUUUUAUAAGGGACGAAAAAAGGUCUUUCUAGAUCGUCUGACGGUACCUUAUGAAUAAGCACCGGCUAACUCCGUGCCAGCCGCCGCCGUAAGAC